GAUACUUUUAUGGACAUCAUCCUCACUGUACGAUUUGAUGACAAAGAAUUUAGCAUCAGUGUACUCUUCUGGGAAAUCUGCUUUAUUGUAUUCAUCUCUGUCAGGACUCAAACUAAUCUUAUCAUUCUCAUCCUCAGCGGUCCCAUUUGUUAGCACAUUCUGCUCUUUGACUGGUAAAGCAUUGGGUGCUGAACCCUUUUGGUUUUUUGCUCCCUUGGCUCUAGGUCCCCUAUUAAGCUCAUUCAAUCCAUCCAUGUUCUCAUUACCAUAACCAAAAUAACCAUUGCCACGUCCCCUGGAUUUAUACUUCCCAUCAACAGACAACCAUCCACGACCAUUUGUUCGCAAAUCAUAGCCAUUGGAG
rnacentral:lncRNA from 1 species